rnacentral:rRNA from 1 species
GAUGAACGCUGGCGGCGUGCUUAACACAUGCAAGUCGAACGGAAAGGCACCUGCUUGCAGGGGUACUCGAGUGGCGAACGGGUGAGUAACACGUGGGUGAUCUGCCCUGCACUUCGGGAUAGGCCUGGGAAACUGGGUCUAAUACAGGACAGGACGAUGGUUAGGAUGCCAAUGUGGAAAGUUUUUCGGUGUGGGAUGAGCAAGCGGCCUAUGAGCGUGUUGGUGGGGUAAUGGCUUACCAAGGACUAGACGGGUAACCGGCCUGUGAGGGUGUACGGCCACAUUGGUACUGAGAUACGGCCCAGACUCCUACAGGAGGCAGCAGUGGGGAAUAUUGCACAAUGGGCGCGAGCCUGUUGCAGCGACGCUGCGUGUGUAAUGACGGCCUUCGGGGUGUAAACACCUUUCGCUUGAUACGAAGCGCAAGUGACGGUACCUAGAGAAUAAGCACCGGCUAACUACGUG